UGGGGAAUAUUGGACAAUGGGCGCAAGCCUGAUCCAGCCAUGCCGCGUGAGGGAGGAAAUCCUUCGGGAUGUAAACCUCGCAAGCAAGGGAAGACAGCUAGAGAUUUAAUAAAUCUCUAGUCCGACGGUACCUUGCGUAAGCCACGGCUAACUACGUGCCAGCAGCCGCGGUAAUACGUAGGGGACUAGCGUUGUUCGGAAUCACUGGGCGUAAAGCGCACGUAGGCGGAUUUGUAAGUCAGGGGUGAAAUCCCGGGGCUCAACCUCGGAACUGCCUUUGAUACUGCGGAUCUCGAGUCCGAUAGAGGUGAGUGGAAUUCCUAGUGUAGAGGUGAAAUUCGUAGAUAUUAGGAAGAACACCGGUGGCGAAGGCGGCUCACUGGAUCGGUACUGACGCUGAGACGCGAAAGCGUGGGGAGCAAACAGGAUUAGAUACCCGAGUAGUCCCUGAGCGGGCUGGCAAGGCGCAU
rnacentral:rRNA from 1 species